AAGAAAAACAAGCACGUCAGUACACACAUACGUACACACAGAGACACACACAAUUUCACCAUUAAAACACACCGACGUCCAUAAAUAUUGAUUCUUCCUAAUCUAAUCUGUAGUCAAGUGUUGGAUUUCUGUACAUAUUCCCACUAACUAGAGCAGAUGACCGUCCCAGUAGGUGAACACAACACCUGUAGAGCAGAUGACCGUCCCAGUAGGUGAACACAACACCUGUAGAGCAGAUGACCGUCCCAGUAGGUGAACACAACACCUGUAGAGCAGAUGACCGUCCCAGUAGGUGAACACAACACCUGUAGAGCAGAUGACCGUCCCAGUAGGUGAACACAACACCUGUAGAGCAGAUGACCGUCCCAGUAGGUGAACACAACACCUGUAGAGCAGAUGACCGUCCCAGUAGGUGAACACAACACCUGUAGAGCAGAUGACCGUCCCAGUAGGUGAACACAACACCUGUAGAGCAGAUGACCGUCCCAGUAGGUGAACACAACACCUGUAGAGCGGAUGACCGUCCCAGUAGGUGAACACAACACCUGUAGAGCAGAUGACCGUCCCAGUAGGUGAACACAACACCUGUAGAGCAGAUGACCGUCCCAGUAGGUGAACACAACACCUGUAGAGCAGAUGACCGUCCCAGUAGGUGAACACAACACCUGUAGAGCAGAUGACCGUCCCAGUAGGUGAACACAACACCUGUAGAGCAGAUGACCGUCCCAGUAGGUGAACACAACACCUGUAGAGCGGAUGACCGUCCCAGUAGGUGAACACAACACCUGUAGAGCAGAUGGCCGUCCCAGUAGGUGAACACAACACCUGUAGAGCAGAUGACCGUCCCAGUAGGUGAACACAACACCUGUAGAGCAGAUGACCGUCCCAGUAGGUGAACACAACACCUGUAGAGCAGAUGACCGUCCCAGUAGGUGAACACAACACCUGUAGAGCGGAUGACCGUCCCAGUAGGUGAACACAACACCUGUAGAGCAGAUGACCGUCCCAGUAGGUGAACACAACACCUGUAGAGCGGAUGACCGUCCCAGUAGGUGAACACAACACCUGUAGAGCGGAUGACCGUCCCAGUAGGUGAACACAACACCUGUAGAGCAGAUGACCGUCCCAGUAGGUGAACACAACACCUGUAGAGCAGAUGACCGUCCCAGUAGGUGAACACAACACCUGUAGAGCGGAUGACCGUCCCAGUAGGUGAACACAACACCUGUAGAGCAGAUGACCGUCCCAGUAGGUGAACACAACACCUGUAGAGCAGAUGACCGUCCCAGUAGGUGAACACAACACCUGUAGAGCGGAUGACCGUCCCAGUAGGUGAACACAACACCUGUAGAGCAGAUGACUGUCCCAGUAGGUGAACACAACACCUGUAGAGCAGAUGACCGUCCCAGUAGGUGAACACAACACCUGUAGAGCGGAUGACCGUCCCAGUAGGUGAACACAACACCUGUAGAGCAGAUGACCGUCCCAGUAGGUGAACACAACACCUGUAGAGCAGAUGACCGUCCCAGUAGGUGAACACAACACCUGUAGAGCGGAUGACCGUCCCAGUAGGUGAACACAACACCUGUAGAGCAGAUGACCGUCCCAGUAGGUGAACACAACACCUGUAGAGCAGAUGACCGUCCCAGUAGGUGAACACAACACCUGUAGAGCAGAUGACCGUCCCAGUAGGUGAACACAACACCUGUAGAGCAGAUGACCGUCCCAGUAGGUGAACACAACACCUGUAGAGCAGAUGACCGUCCCAGUAGGUGAACACAACACCUGUAGAGCAGAUGACCGUCCCAGUAGGUGAACACAACACCUGUAGAGCAGAUGACCGUCCCAGUAGGUGAACACAACACCUGUAGAGCAGAUGACCGUCCCAGUAGGUGAACACAACACCUGUAGAGCAGAUGACCGUCCCAGUAGGUGAACACAACACCUGUAGAGCAGAUGACCGUCCCAGUAGGUGAACACAACACCUGUAGAGCAGAUGACCGUCCCAGUAGGUGAACACAACACCUGUAGAGCAGA